rnacentral:ncRNA from 1 species
GUAAGCGCGAGUCAUUAGCUCGCGUUGAUUACGUCCCUGUCCUUUGUACACACCGCCCGUCGCUACUACCGAUUGAAUGGUUUAGUGAGGUCCUCCGAUUGGACCCGUCCGGGCGGCGACGUCCGAGCCGGCGUCCGAGAAGACGAUCUAACUUGAUCAUUUAGAGGAAGUAAAAGUCGUAACAAGGUUUCCGUAGGUGAACCUGCGGAAGGAUCAUUA